ACUCAAAUGAAUAGACGGGGACCCGCACAAGCGGUGGAGCAUGUGGUUUAAUUCGACGCAACGCGAAGAACCUUACCUGGGUUAAAUCAAGGGUGUAAGGCGCAGAGAUGCGCCCCCCGGGCAACCGGCGCCUUUGAAGGUGCUGCAUGGCUGUCGUCAGCUCGUGUCGUGAGAUGUUGGGUUAAGUCCCGCAACGAGCGCAACCCUUACCACUAGUUGCCAGCAUUUGGUUGGGCACUCUAGCGGAACUGCCGGUGAUAAACCGGAGGAAGGUGGGGAUGACGUCAAGUCAUCAUGGCCUCUAUGUCCAGGGCUACACACGUGCUACAAUGGCCGGUACAAACCGCUGCGAACCUGUGAGGGGGAGCCAAUCGGAAAAAGCCGGUCUCAGUUCGGAUUGGAGUCUGCAACUCGACUCCAUGAAGUUGGAAUCGCUAGUAAUCGCAGAUCAGCACGCUGCGGUGAAUACGUUCCCGGGUCUUGUACACACCGCCCGU
rnacentral:rRNA from 1 species